UUUUAGGGAAUAUACGCAUUGGGACCUUUAUAUCUUUCAACACCAUGUAGAACACUUCUUUUUCUUUCUUCCACAUUGCAAAAAUAGAAGGCAGCAACUGAGAUUUUCCAUUUGAAAGUAAUUGGGGAUGAAGAUUGUAAUAACCCAAAUUUGCCCGGCCCAAAUUAGAAAUAAAUAAAUAAACAAAAAUAUAAAUAAAAACAAAAAUUAUUAAAAGUCUAUCAGUCCAUAUUACAAACCGAAAAUGCAUUAGACCCACUAAGCCCCAAUAUCACAACCCAAUUAUUAACCCAACUACCCAAUUACAGACCAAAAUAGCUAAACCCAAACCCACUAAGAC
rnacentral:lncRNA from 1 species